GGGCCAUUAGCUCAGCUGGUAGAGCAGGUGCCUCUUAAGCACAAGGUCGCAGGUUCGAAUCCUGCAUGGCCCA
rnacentral:tRNA from 1 species